GUAGGUGAACCUGCGGAAGGAUCAUUAUUGAAAUAAAUCUGAUGAGUUGCUGCUGGUUCUCUAGGGAGCAUGUGCACGCUUGUCAUCUUUAUAUCUCCACCUGUGCACCUUUUGUAGACCUGGAUCUCUCUCUGAAUGCUAGCAUUCAGGAUUGAGGAUUUGACUUCAUGUCUUUCCUUCCAUUUCCAGGCCUAUGUUUCUUCAUAUACCCCAAUGUAUGUCGUAGAAUGUAAUCAAUGGCCUUUGUGCCUAUAAACCUAUACAACUUUCAGCAACGGAUCUCUUGGCUCUC
rnacentral:misc_RNA from 1 species